AGAAGUCACAAAGAUACACAGGGUAUGGAGAGAUGACAUCAGUGCUCGGUCACACCGGACCUAAUAACCAAGCACUUGAAAGGGAUCUAGACCUUCAUACCUGAGAAAAGGAGGUUUGAGACGGAGGCAAGACCUUGCCUGCCCCCACAUGACCCAGUGGUGAAGGAACGGAGGGAGGGAAGAUGAGAGGCCACUGCCACAGUCCAGAGGUCACAGCAGCUGAACAGACCACACUGGGAAUGGGCUGGACUCCUAUAGCUCUAACCCGCCAAGAACAUUCCAGAAGCCAUGCCAGCGUCUUUACUCCCCAUGGAGACUGGAGUCUGAUUCUGUCACCUGGUCGAGCCUGAAGGUGUGCGUGCGUGCAAGGCUCACAGCCAAACCCCCUAUCCAGAUAGCCUGGGUCACUUCAGGUCAGUUGGUCUACUACUAACACAGAACAAGCAGGGCUCAGAGAGGCCCGAGCCUGAGCAGCACAGCUGGAACAGAGUCAGAACUGGAGAACAGACAGAAGGCUUAGAGUAAGCCUGCCUCAGGGUAACAGGCCUGUCAUCGGAGCUGUGCCGAAUAUAUGCAAGGCUUAGGCAAAGUUAUGAUUUCAAGGCCUGCCCAGGCAGGCUACAGAGUACAUUCAAGGCUGGCUGAUCGAUUUAGCUAGACCAUAUUUGGAAAAGUAAUAUAUGUAUACAUACAUGCAUGUGUGUGUGUAUGUAUGUAUGUAUGUAUGUAUACAUAUAUACAUUAAAAGAGAUUUAAAGAUACGGCUUGGUGGUAGAGGGCUAGUCUAGCAUGGACAAGGCCCAGAGUUCCUCCUCUAACACCAGGGUGUGGGAACCCAUGGAAUUAAGCUCCCUUGUGGACAGCCUCCCUGGGGACAGGGCUUGGCCACCCGCUGCUCUGCGGAUCCUCAAGCCCACAUGGCUACAGAUGUAGACCCAUCCCGCCCAUCUGGCACCCAAGGAGCCAUUUAGACCUGGGCUGCAGCAGGUCUGUCCGUAGGUCUGUCUGCCUGAGGCCCUCAACUCCAGGCCCUGACAUGCCAGACACUAUCCCACCCAUCAUAUCUCAUCUCUAGGGACUCCAGAGUCCCAAACAUGGGCCAGCUCUGGCUCCUACAUGAAGCCUGAGGAGUCCCAAGCCAUUGUUCCACACAAGCUGUCACCUAUGCAGCCCAGCCCCCACGGGGCACACAGACUGUGCUAACAUGGUCACGGGGGCUGAUCUUGUCCCAUCAGUCUCCAACCUUCUGAUCCAAGGCUUUGCAGAACCCUCACUCCACACUUCCCAGUCACACCAGGGUGUGACUACAGCCACACACCGGGUCCCACCACAGGGUCUGUAUGCUCCUGCCAGCUCGAGAUACCUUCCCAAUUCUUUCCAUCACCCACGCCCUCUCUCCUCACCUGGCGGUGGCUCCAGUGCUCCGUCCCAUCCUCACACCCACACCAGAGCUGGCCUCCAUCCUUCCACCCAGCUUUUCUUUCCCUGUCCCCAGCCCCAGCCCCUUGCCUGCCCCCAGCCCCAGCCCCUUGCCUGCCCACACCAGCAGUGGCAGCAGCUGACAAGCCUAUAGGCCUGGCUGGGGUGUACCUUGGUAAGAUCUUCAGACCCACUUGGCUGCCCAGUGGCCAGCAGGGGUGCCGGGCGCAGCAGGGUAUCAGGUAGUAGCUCCAGGCGUGGGCGCUUGCUCUCUGUGAAUUCUAUGUCGGGCUUGCCCAGUUCAGGCAGGAAGGUGCGAGACUCAGGGCGCAGGUGGAGCUCCUGAGACCUGUGGGAGGCCAGGGACACACAUUACACAGGAGACAGAAGCUUAGGACCAAGAAUCUGGGUGUCUGCCUAGCCGGGUUCUCAUGAGGAGACUUGUUAGAAGGUUCCUCUGUCUUCCCUGAUAGGAGAGGACAUAGUUCUGACUCAUGAGGACUUGUUGUGACUACCCAGCCUGAAAACCCCACAGACCCUCUUGAGCUAACCAGAAAUGCAAAACGUAAAACCUAAACCACUGCUACUGACCAAGACUACAUUUUAACAAGCCCCUGGGGGUUUUAAAGCACAGGCCUGAGAAGCACCAUAAGGUUUACGCAAAGAACAGCAUACACAACACUUUUCCUUCUAACCCUCCCUGGGCAGACAUCACUAGCCGAUCACAGCACUUCUGCUAUUAAAAACUGAUCUAGCCAGCAGGCAGAAAGAUGUGAGCCUUUUGCCUCUUAAUUUUCCUUAACCUUGGGUAGAUAGAUGGUCAUACCUCCUCUACCUAUAAGUCCUCAGCCCCUGCUCCUGGGAGAGUACAGCCCUGUCAUGGCCCUAGGAUGCCACCAGGAGGAAGUGGUGCUGGGAAGGGCUGAAGUCUGGACCCCUGCAGCUUUACCUACAAAAACUAUCAUUAUCUACCUGAGAGACACCAUAGCCUAGACAAAAUGUGGCGGCAACAUCUCCUCACCGUUCACUUCCAGGCUGGAACUCAGAUAGCAGUGAGGGCCGCCUCCUCUGUGGCUGGAUAAUGGAGCCGGGUGACAGGUGUGAGGUGUAGUCACGAGGGUGGUGUUGGUACUCAAGCAGCCCCACGUCCUGUGGAAGAAAGGGAGCAGUGAGCAAGCACAGGAGCAAUGGCAGCUUCCUUGCCACCAAGAGGCCCAGAUGAGUUUCCAGCCUACAUCCUCUAGCUACAAUUGCCACAGCGAUGUUUCCCACCAUGCUUAGAGCCCUGGAGCCACAAGGUACAGCUGGGGGUACCCCUUACUGUAGAAGAUCAUAAUAACCUUAGUACUGGACUCUACAUCCCCACACAGGCCACACUGGGGCAUGUAUGUGGUAUCCCUGUAUCGUCCCACUCUCUAGCUGGUACAUCUGAGGGGGACGAGGGCAAAGCACAGGUCCUCUAAGGCCACGGGCUGGACAACGGUCAGCCUGUAAAUCCCACUGCCCAUACCAGUGAGCUGCAGGUUUAGAGAACAAUGUGUCACUUCUCCCAGGCCCUGCCUACUGACAUGGGGCUGGGUAUUGCCUUAGCAGGGCACUGGUGAGCAUGGAGCGGCCCACAGGGCAGAAAUGUAUCUGCCUUCAAUGGAGACCCAGGUCUCCUCGGACAGGUAUCCCUGUGAAGAGUCAAGCUCAAAACACGAAAGAGAGAGGAAGAUUGCGUAGCCAGGACAGAUGGAGAUAUAUAAACCCAGAUCCCAGCCAAGCAGCUGUUCAGGAGUCCCGCCCACCACGAGAAAAACAGCUAGCUUAUGAAGUGUGGGGGAUGGGGGGAGGGAGGCUACACCCUCCCGCUUUGAACAGUGAUUGUGAUUUCGCUGGUCAGACCACACCUGGUGUUGAGGUCUGUGAAGGAGGCCUCAAUCUUAGCCUACCCUUGCAGAAAGAGUGCUGGGGAGUCAACACAGUUGACAAAGUCCCCCAACCUUGAAGUCUCAUCGUGGUGCCAGGCUCCCUCCCUGCUCACUAGCGUUCUACCAACCCCUACAUUUUUCACAAGGGUCAAGAUCACCUUAUCACGGUAAGAAAAUGAGGGAAUUGAGAGAGGAGAGAGCUGAGUGUGCACACCAUUUAAAAAAAAAAAAAAGACCACCAGGCCAAUCAAUCUAGUCUAUCAGCCUAGACACUUGAUUACAUGCACGGCAAUCGAUUAGUAAUGUCUGUCUCGGGUAUAGCCGCAGAUAGCGUGAACUAUAGAACUAUAGGUUAACUUAGUUUUCCAUUGGCAUAUUUUCUCCUUUUCGGUCCUUUUUAUUUUGUUUUAGAUUUCAUUUUAUCUCUAUGUAUCUGUGUGUAUGUCUAUGUGCCUAUGCACUGGAGUCCAGUGCCCACCUAAGCCAGAGAGAACCUGAAGACAUUGGAUAUCCUGGAGUUAGAAGCAGCUAUGAAUUGCUCAACAUGGAUGCGUAAAACCAUGCUCAGAUCCCCUGAAAAGCAGCUCAGGCCCUUUUGAGGCCCUGGCUUUGUGUCUUAAACAGUUCUUACUGCAAAGAAUCAAUGAUAGCAGCUAAGUGUGCUGAGGCUAUAGAAGCAGCCAGGCUCCUGCCCCUAGAGGAUGAGCAACUGGGAAACCUCAGAGACCAAACAGCAAGGGAAGAUCAAGACCCUGCAAAACAAGACCCAGGAGAAGGACAAGGCUACCAGGAUGACCCUGCCAAGGAGGACUUGGAGAGAAGGGAUCCCAUACUCAGAUCGCUGCAACCAAGCCUUCUGCACGAGCUGUCUAAUGCGACCCCCCCAAACACAAGGAGGAUAUCAUGGGUGGUGUGAACAACAAGAGAAUGAGGGGCCCAGAAGCAAGAACGGUUCUUCCCGGUCGCACAGCAAGGACAGCACAGGUUCUACAGGGUGAGGCUCGACUGGCACCUCCGCAGGGAACGGGGACAGUCACAGGUCACAGGUCACAACCUGCCCAGUGGCUGAUCACAACACCCGACUCAAGAGUAGAGGCCCACCCCACCCCCCGGAUAUUUCCACUACAAACAGAACAAGUGGGGAGCCCCAAGAAACACACUGUACCCCAGCACAAGUCUAAGAAGUAGAGACGCACACGAGGUCAUAUGGAGACAGAGUUCAGCCGAGCCCUGUGAACCCUGGAUUCACAGGUCACUCCUGAGUGGUGUGUUCAUUCCAACGGAGCCUCACCUCAGGGCUUCCACGCAGCCUGGGGCACUGCCCACCCAGACGCCAUGCAUCGCCUGUCCCUCCUCUCCCGUCCCAGCUCCACCAACGACAUUAGGCUCACCACUUAAAACAUGGCCUCCUCCAGCCUCGCCUUUGCUCACUGUUCCCCAAGAGAAUGUCAGCUCCCCAGAGUGAGAGGGUUUCUCAGGCCUUCACAGCUCUGUCCCCAAGGCUUGGAAAUUGGCCUGUGACAAACCUAAUCUGCAUUUGUCCAACAAAUGAACGAGUGAAUCCAUUAA